UGGGGAAUUUUGGACAAUGGGGGCAACCCUGAUCCAGCCAUCCCGCGUGUGCGAUGAAGGCCUUCGGGUUGUAAAGCACUUUUGGCAGGGAAGAAACAGCCUGGGAUAAUACCCCGGGCGACUGACGGUACCUGCAGAAUAAGCACCGGCUAACUACGUGCCAGCAGCCGCGGUAAUACGUAGGGUGCAAGCGUUAAUCGGAAUUACUGGGCGUAAAGCGUGCGCAGGCGGUUCGGAAAGAAAGGUGUGAAUCCCAGGGCUUAACCUUGGAACUGCACUUUUAACUACCGAGCUAGAGUACGUCAGAGGGGGGUAGAAUUCCACGUGUAGCAGUGAAAUGCGUAGAGAUGUGGAGGAAUACCGAUGGCGAAGGCAGCCCCUGGGAUGAUACUGACGCUCAUGCACGAAAGCGUGGGGAGCAAACAGGAUUAGAUACCCUGGUAGUCCACGCCCUAAACGAUGUCAACUAGCUGUUGGGGUUUAUUAACCUUAGUAGCGCAGCUAACGCGUGAAGUUGACCGCCUGGGGAGUACGGUCGCAAGAUU
rnacentral:rRNA from 1 species